rnacentral:tRNA from 2 species
GCCGAAGUGGUGGAACUGGCAGACGCGCUGGACUCAAAAUCCAGUGUCCGCGAGGACGUACGGGUUCGAUUCCCGUUUUCGGCA